UUCACAUACUCGGUCGUUCGCAGGACGUGGAGUUUUUGCGGUGGAUGCAUUGGAAAAGGGUGACUUUGUGGCCGAGUACCGCGGUCAACUAAUAAACGGAGCUGAAAGCGAGAGGAGGAGGCGAGUGUACCAUCCUGCCGCUGCUGUCUUUCUUUUCGACUUUAAAUGGAAUAGGAAAAGCUGGUGCAUUGAUGGAGCCAAAGAUGAUGGCUCUGUUGGAAGAAUGAUAAAUGACAACCACAAAAGUCCAAACUGCAAAAUCAAGAAACUGGCAGUAGAUGGAAUGCCACACCUCUGCCUGUUUGCUUUAAGAGAUAUUCUUCCUGGUGAAGAAAUCACAUACAGCUAUGGAGAUGGACCAUGGCCUUGGAGAAAACAGG